rnacentral:rRNA from 1 species
UAACCUGCUCAAGAGAUCGGGAUAACACCUGGAAACAGAUACUAAUACCGGAUAACAACAGAUGAUGCCUAUCAACUGUUUAAAAGAUGGUUCUGCUAUCACUCUUGGAUGGACCUGCGGUGCAUUAGCUAGUUGGUAGGGUAACGGCCUACCAAGGCGAUGAUGCAUAGCCGAGUUGAGAGACUGAUCGGCCACAUUGGGACUGAGACACGGCCCAAACUCCUACGGGAGGCAGCAGCC